CCCUUAGAUGUCCUGGGCCGCACGCGCGCUACACUGAUGCAUGCAACGAGUUUAUAACCUUGGCCUGAAAGGUCUGGGUAAUCUUUUGAACGUGCAUCGUGAUAGGGAUAGAUUAUUGCAAUUGUUAAUCUUGAACGAGGAAUUCCUAGUAAACGCGAGUCAUCAGCUCGCAUUGAUUACGUCCCUGCCCUUUGUACACACCGCCCGUCGCACCUACCGAUUGAAUGUUCCGGUGAGCUCUUCGGACUGCGCGGUCUGCAGUUUCUGCGUUCCGUGCGGAAAGUUGUGCAAACCUUAACAUUUAGAGGAAGGAGAAGUCGUAACA
rnacentral:rRNA from 1 species